rfam:Arabidopsis thaliana chromosome 5, complete sequence.
UGGGAGGUGAUGAUUAUUUCCCCAGAUGAUCGAAGCUGAUUAUACGGAGCGAUUUUAUGUUUCUCUCUUUCAGAGAGAUUCCAAGCCAAUUUUCUGAUCCCU